UUUCUUAUCUAUCUCUCAGCAAUCACUAUUAAUUUCACAAACUUACAAAUAGAUAGUGUGAUAAGUUAAUUAAUUGCUUUUAUUGUCUUUUGCUUGGAGUAUGUUUCAUAGGAUGCUUGUUUUUUGUGUUAGUGUGCUGGCUGACAUGUGUGUUUUUGUUUGGUACGAAACCAAAACAUUUGACCAUUAAGUUUACAAUGGCAAAUUUUUUGCCUUCAUGCUCUUUUUUUUUUUUUUUGACAUCUUCAUGAUUUUAUAUUUAUUUUUUAUAUAUUUUUACAUGAAUUUUGAAAACCUGUGCAUUUAUAUGCAUUGCCUAUUUCCAUAUACACCCUAAUUAUUCUUUUAAAUACUGAGUUAACGUGGGUUCCUUGUUUUGAUAAAUUUGUACUAAUACAAAUAUAACAUGUAUCAAUACACAUCAGUUACUUUUUUAGUUCUGCUUAAAUCUAAGCUUUCUAAUUGAUCUACCACUCUCCAAAAAGGUUAUAGAUAACAUAUGUUUGGUCAGUAAGAGUUCAGAACAAUACAGCCCGCAAGCAAGGUUUAAAUAAUAUUUCCAUACACAAAUUCAUAUUUCUUUUCUCCGAUGACUCCUCGUUUUGGACUUUUUCUUUUGUGGUGGCCGAGGUUC
rnacentral:lncRNA from 1 species